GAUGAACGCUAGCUACAGGCUUAACACAUGCAAGUCGAGGGGAAACGACAUCGAAAGCUUGCUUUUGAUGGGCGUCGACCGGCGCACGGGUGAGUAACGCGUAUCCAACCUGCCCACCACUUGGGGAUAACCUUGCGAAAGUAAGACUAAUACCCAAUGAUAUCUCUAGAAGACAUCUGAAAGAGAUUAAAGAUUUAUCGGUGAUGGAUGGGGAUGCGUCUGAUUAGCUUGUUGGCGGGGUAACGGCCCACCAAGGCGACGAUCGGUAGGGGUUCUGAGAGGAAGGUCCCCCACAUUGGAACUGAGACACGGUCCAAACUCCUACGGGAGGCAGCAGUGAGGAAUACUGGUCAAUGGACGCAAGUCUGAACCAGCCAAGUAGCGUGCAGGAUGACGGCCCUAUGGGUUGUAAACUGCUUUUAUAAGGGAUAAAGUGAGUCUCGUGAGACUUUUUGCAUGUACCUUAUGAAUAAGGACCGGCUAAUUCCGUGCCAGCAGCCG
rnacentral:rRNA from 1 species